UGUUUGAUGUUCUAACGUGGACCCGUGAUCCGGGUUGCGGACAGUGUCUGGUGGGUAGUUUGACUGGGGCGGUCUCCUCCUAAAGAGUAACGGAGGAGCACGAAGGUUGGCUAAUCCUGGUCGGACAUCAGGAGGUUAGUGCAAUGGCAUAAGCCAGCUUGACUGCGAGCGUGACGGCGCGAGCAGGUGCGAAAGCAGGUCAUAGUGAUCCGGUGGUUCUGAAUGGAAGGGCCAUCGCUCAACGGAUAAAAGGUACUCCGGGGAUAACAGGCUGAUACCGCCCAAGAGUUCAUAUCGACGGCGGUGUUUGGCACCUCGAUGUCGGCUCAUCACAUCCUGGGGCUGAAGUAGGUCCCAAGGGUAUGGCUGUUCGCCAUUUAAAGUGGUACGCGAGCUGGGUUUAGAACGUCGUGAGACAGUUCGGUCCCUAUCUGCCGUGGGCGCUGGAGAACUGAGGGGGGCUGCUCCUAGUACGAGAGGACCGGAGUGGACGCAUCACUGGUGUUCGGGUUGUCAUGCCAAUGGCACUGCCCGGUAGCUAAAUGCGGAAGAGAUAAGUGCUGAAAGCAUCUAAGCACGAAACUUGCCCCGAGAUGAGUUCUCCCUGAGACUUAGAGUCUCCUGAAGGAACGUUGAAGACGACGACGUUGAUAGG
rnacentral:rRNA from 1 species